AGAGUUUGAUUAUGGCUCAGGACGAACGCUGGCGGCGUGCCUAAUACAUGCAAGUCGAACGAACUCUGGUAUUGAUUGGUGCUUGCAUCAUGAUUUACAUUUGAGUGAGUGGCGAACUGGUGAGUAACACGUGGGAAACCUGCCCAGAAGCGGGGGAUAACACCUGGAAACAGAUGCUAAUACCGCAUAACAACUUGGACCGCAUGGUCCGAGUUUGAAAGAUGGCUUCGGCUAUCACUUUUGGAUGGUCCCGCGGCGUAUUAGCUAGAUGGUGGGGUAACGGCUCACCAUGGCAAUGAUACGUAGCCGACCUGAGAGGGUAAUCGGCCACAUUGGGACUGAGACACGGCCCAAACUCCUACGGGAGGCAGCAGUAGGGAAUCUUCCACAAUGGACGAAAGUCUGAUGGAGCAACGCCGCGUGAGUGAAGAAGGGUUUCGGCUCGUAAAACUCUGUUGUUAAAGAAGAACAUAUCUGAGAGUAACUGUUCAGGUAUUGACGGUAUUUAACCAGAAAGCCACGGCUAACUACGUGCCAGCAGCCGCGGUAAUACGUAGGUGGCAAGCGUUGUCCGGAUUUAUUGGGCGUAAAGCGAGCGCAGGCGGUUUUUUAAGUCUGAUGUGAAAGCCUUCGGCUCAACCGAAGAAGUGCAUCGGAAACUGGGAAACUUGAGUGCAGAAGAGGACAGUGGAACUCCAUGUGUAGCGGUGAAAUGCGUAGAUAUAUGGAAGAACACCAGUGGCGAAGGCGGCUGUCUGGUCUGUAACUGACGCUGAGGCUCGAAAGUAUGGGUAGCAAACAGGAUUAGAUACCCUGGUAGUCCAUACCGUAAACGAUGAAUGCUAAGUGUUGGAGGGUUUCCGCCCUUCAGUGCUGCAGCUAACGCAUUAAGCAUUCCGCCUGGGGAGUACGGCCGCAAGGCUGAAACUCAAAUGAAUGACGG
rnacentral:rRNA from 1 species